rnacentral:lncRNA from 1 species
UUUCUUUUGAGAAAGGGUACAUCCAUCUUGCCAGGUGAGGAUAUUUUGUCUUUUUUGACAUAUGUCUUUCAUAUCUCUGUCUUUAAGCAAACUGAUAAACAUCAUUAUUGUUUAUUUUAUCAUCACAACUGUUAUUCACUGCUUCUUCACUAAACUGCUGUUUUUCCUCUGCUGGAGCAAUUAUUAGUUGCUGUAGCUCCCUUUUUUCAGGAGGGCGGAUUAUCAUUUACUUCUGAGACUUUUUUCAGCCAAAAUGCCUCUAUUGGAAUACUAGUUACCAUAUUUUCAGAUCUUUUAUCUUGAAACACCACAUCCCAGUGAUAGAAAAAGCUUUUCACUUCUUAACUUGUUUUCUCCCAAAGCAAUGGAACAUCCCCCCUUCCCCCAGCUUACUUUUCUACAUUGAUUAAAGCAACUUAUUUUUUUUUUUUAAUUUCAUUCAGUUCAUACUGGAAUCUUGCACAAAUUAUCUUGAGUCUUUAAUAAACUCAAAGAAGAAUAUACAGAGGCAGCUACAGGGCUUACCGGAUAGAGCUCCAGACAGGAGGUCCUAACUGUGACUCUGGGCAAGUAACUUAACUCCAAUUUCCUAUCCCCUGUUGCCCUUCUGCUUUGGAACUAAUACUCUGGAUCAAUUCUAAACAGAAGUUUGAACUCAAUCAACUAUGACAUGUCUUGGGAUUUUACCAGAAUCACAGACAGUUGCAUCAUCUUUUGAAUAUGCACUCUCCUCUCUUCUGGAACUAAGCAGACAAUGCAAAGAAGCAGGGGACCAGAGAAAUCAUGAAAACAACUAGGAGCCCUAUGGUUGAAAGGAAAACAAAAUAUUUGCUCCUGAGAUAUCUCCAAGACACUGUUCUCCUACUUCUGUACAGGCUGAUACAAAUUUUACCUUUCCAUUUUUGCCAUAAAGCAAGCACUUUCUUAACAAUGCCACCUUCAAGUGAGUCCUCCAGUCUCGCCCUGGGGAGUUCUACAAUUAUCACUGGAUGAUAUACUGGCAAUAAAGGGGAA